GGGUUUUUGCCCUUGUUAGUCUGUAAGCAUAAGAAUGUAUGUCUUAUUAUUGUAGAAAAGGAAAAAGGAGAACAAAAUGAAGAAAAAGAAGGAAAAGAAGAAAAGGAAAGAGAAAACAGGACCUGUCCAGCUUUCCAAGUUCUUCAAAAACAAAAAGAAGAAUGAAAACUACAGCAUGAUAACCGGAAAGAAAAUUAAGAUGAAAAUAAAGAAGACUAAGGAAGAUAUAGAGAGAGACCGGAACCGUGCCCAGCUCCUGGAAUUUCUGAACUCUGCCUUGUAACAGCAAGAGUCCUCACCAAGGACUGGUGGAUGUACCAAGCCAACUGUCAUCCUAGCAGAACACUAAAGAGAAACUCAGGGAAAAGGACACCAAGUUGGACAAGACCAGACCCUCCUACUGAGAAGAAAAUUGGGAUGUCCUUUUUUUAAUGGCAAAACACCAGAGUAGCUAAUAACUUGUUAAUGGAGAUCCAUGUCCUCAUUUUGAGAUCCUAAGGUAAUAGAUUGGCUGUGGUGUUUUAGAAAAGCUCAAGUGUGUGUUGUUCACAAUGAUAAGAAAUGACACACUGAAGUCCAGCAAUGUAAUUUCUGUCUUAACUGCAUGCAGAAUGCACUCUUAAUUUCAAAUGUCUUAAUUUUUCUUGUAGUUUAAGCAGAGUAUUUGUAAAUGUUUAUUUUAAAGAUGAGGUGUUUCUUUUAUGUAUUUUUUUCUGGUAGUGGUUAUGCGUAUCAUGAAGAGCAAACUGACCUUUGUAAAUAGAGCAUCCUUUUACAUAAAUGAUUUUUUUUUGAAAGUUCAUUCACUAAUAUGUUGUUUUCUUUCAGAACUCAGGAUGUGGUAUUUCUCUGGACAGUUUAUUGCUCUCUCUCAUUAGAAAGUGUAACAGCAAAAUACUCUAGAGCAAUAAUGGUAGCAAAUUAUUUUUAUCCUAAAAUAGAAGCAGGAAAGGUCUCUGGUUUUGGUUGUUUAUCUGAAUCAGUUGUUCAGUUCAUAAUAGAUCGUUUACCCCCCAUAUCUGGAGCUGCAGUUCCUGGACUGAAAGCUCUGGAGUUGUGGCCUGCUUUUCUGAUCCUGUGAGCCGUGUAUCCAGUCUUUCUCUUUGAAGUGCAGCAAGGCACAAACCAUUGACAUACCUUAGUCUGAUGGAGAAAGAGCUGUGGAACGGUGUUGAGGCAGGCAGUGACAGUGACUUCACUGUGAGAUGAGACAGGGCUGGACAGGCUGCAGGAGCCCAGCACAGCCUGGGUGUGCCAGCUGUGGUCUGUUGCUCAGUGCCUGCACUCUUCCUUCCACACCUUGACUCUUGGUUGCACAGCAGGCCUCUCUGUACAUAACCCUGCUGUGGGAGUUCACUUGAAUCACUCGUGAAGCUGGUGCUCCUCAGGAGCUACAGUUUAGGAAUGCCUGAAGGAAGGCCUCAAGGGGAGUGGACUUUGACAAAAACAUUAAGUGUACAGCAGUGAGAGUGGGGGGAGUUCAUUAAAGAGCAAAUGGAAAAUUG